CCUACGGGUGGCAGCAGUGAGGAAUAUUGGUCAAUGGGCGAGAGCCUGAACCAGCCAAGUCGCGUGAGGGAAGACGGUCCUAUGGAUUGUAAACCUCUUUUGCCGGGGAGCAAAAAGCGGUACGUGUACCGCAUCGAGAGUACCCGGAGAAAAAGCAUCGGCUAACUCCGUGCCAGCAGCCGCGGUAAUACGGAGGAUGCGAGCGUUAUCCGGAUUUAUUGGGUUUAAAGGGUGCGCGGGGGGUGAGUUAAGUCAGCGGUAAAAUUUUGGGGCUCAACCCCGAAAAGCCGUUGAAACUGGCUUGCUAGAGUGGGCGAGAAGUAUGCGGAAUGCGUGGUGUAGCGGUGAAAUGCGUAGAUAUCAGGAGGAAUACCGUUAGCGAAGGCGGCAAUCUGGCUGGACACUGACGCUGAGGUGCGAAAGCGUGGGUAGCAAACAGGAUUAGAUACCCCUGUAGUC
rnacentral:rRNA from 1 species